rnacentral:lncRNA from 1 species
CACGUGUUUCUGGAGGGCAAUAUGUUCUGGUAGAAAACCUGCAGGCCGAGCAGGGUGCCCUGCUGGAGGCCACAUAGCACAGGUGAGGGCUGCUCAAAGCUGCUGGUCCAGCUGAGGUGGAAAAAACACAGUGCUGCCGUGCUCUUGGAGUCCUGAUGGUCUGGUGACUCAGAGAAGCACCUCUGGAGGACAAAGGCCUGUUGUGACCAGUGUAUGUUCCUCAAUAUUCUUUCUUAAACGGCCUGAGAGCUCUCCCCAGCCUGUGCCUUUGCUUCUUUUGCUGAAGGAACCCUUAUGUGGACACCUCCUGUCCCUCUUGCAGCUCGUGCACGGUGGGUAGGAAGCGGGGAGCAGCUGAGAGCUGUGUGACAGCAGCCUUGGACUAGCAAGCCAUUCUCAGCCCUCAAAACUCUACUGUCAGAAUUUUAACUGAUGAUUGUUAAAAGUUACUGCUGCAUUUGGUUUGGAUGUGCUGCUAAUUAAAUCCAUCCUCUACAGCUCUUUACAAUGCCAUCUGCUGGGAGGGGUCCAGGGAGCCAGGAGCUCUACCUUAGCCGACCUGUGGGUUGGGCAGCGUUCCCUGAGCUCUUUGUGGCUGAAGCAGAUAACAUCUUCCAUCGGCUCUCAUCCUGACAGGAAGCGCUUAAAAUCUGAGUCUGGAAAGGCUGCCAGGAAGCAGGUCCUAACUGAAAAGAACAGAUUUAUCUGCAUGAGGAUGUCAUGGCCUUGCUCAUCUGAAUCAGGUGUAUGUGCUGGUGUUGAGCAAGGGACAGAAAUGAAGAGUGCAGUGCAUGCAGCAUGUGAAGCCUUUUUGGAAGGACAUGGUCACUGUCAGCAGCACAGGGGAGAGCCAAAGCUCUGGGGAGCCAGGAUUUGGGUGACUGCAGAGAAUUAAAGGGCUGUGGGAGUACGUUGGGAUGUGGCUUAAACAAUAGAAAAACAGACAGCCAAAGACUCAGCUCAUGCAAAUGGAGAUGGCUCUGUGGAUCAGUGAAGUCCUAAUAAUUUUCAGUAAAUGAGAUAUAAUGGGCUGCAGUGUGUGUGUAGCCAGAAUGCUACCCAGUGCUCCUCUUGAGAGCCUCAGGAGGCAUCAUGUCUCAGUAAAAUAGUUGCUGGUGGAAGAGCCAGCCUCUUGUGCAAAGCAACUUGUGUGUGUGCUUCAUUCAGCUGAAAUUGGUCUCCUAUUUUUCAUUUUAUAUGCUUUGCAGCCAUAUGUUUUGGUUAAAAACUGCACUGGAAUGGUGCAUUGUAAAUUAUGGGAAGUGCACAAACUAGUUUAUCUCCUCUCCUUCUCCAGCUGUGAAAGAAUCAACGAGAGAUGUGUCACAUAUGCAGAACCUCUGGGGACAGCAGCAUUCUCAUACAGGACAGGGACUGAAGGCCGUGGCAGCAUUGCUGUAGACUUUACACAACACAUGGG